GUUCUACGGGAGGCAGCAGUAAGGAAUAUUGGUCAAUGGCCGAGAGGCUGAACCAGCCAAGUCGCGUGAGGGAUGACGGCCCUACGGGUUGUAAACCUCUUUUGUCGGGGAGCAAGACCCGCCUCGUGCAGGCGGAGCGAGAGUACCCGAAGAAAAAGCAUCGGCUAACUCCGUGCCAGCAGCCGCGGUAAUACGGAGGAUGCGAGCGUUAUCCGGAUUUAUUGGGGGUAAAGGGAGCGUAGACGGCGAUGCAAGUCUGAAGUGAAAGGCGGGGGCCCAACCCCCGGACUGCUUUGGAAACUGUA
rnacentral:rRNA from 1 species